UACGAAGGGGGCUAGCGUUGUUCGGAAUUACUGGGCGUAAAGCGCACGUAGGCGGAUCGAUCAGUCAGGGGUGAAAUCCCAGAGCUCAACUCUGGAACUGCCUUUGAUACUGGCGAUCUCGAGUCCGGGAGAGGUGAGUGGAACUGCGAGUGUAGAGGUGAAAUUCGUAGAUAUUCGCAAGAACACCAGUGGCGAAGGCGGCUCACUGGCCCGGUACUGACGCUGAGGUGCGAAAGCGUGGGGAGCAAACAGG
rnacentral:rRNA from 1 species